GAUAGUUUCAAAAUCAGUAAUGAGCAAGGUUAGCCAUCGAUUUCCUCAUUCCUAAUCGAAUCCUGGUUCGCCGUCGCCAUGAGCAACGAUAAUCGGAGGUUGUUGAACCCGAACCGAAACCCGAACCGAAACCCGAACCCGAAUCCAGAAAGGCUUCUGGCAAUCCCAGUGAAGAAGAGUGAUCCGGUGGAGCUGUACAGGCCGUUACGCAAUUUGGUAGCGAGAAAAUACUCAGAGAGCGAUGCGCAGAAAGUUGAAAGCGUUCUGGAAACCCUAAACAAAUGCCGCAGCGACAUGGUGGAGCGAGGGGACCUCUCCCUUCCCAUGCAACGGGACUGCCUCAUUCACUACUUCAAAUGUCUUUGCAUGGUUGACCCACUCUUCACCGCUAUCUCCUCCGACUCCGAUUCCGACCCCAUCGUCUUUGUCUGGUACGACUCCUUCUACUCUGAGCAUGAGAAUGGGGUCUCCUCGCAGCGCAACAGCAUCCAAUUGGAGAAGGCUUCUGUUCUCUUCAACCUUGGCGCCGUAUGCAGCCAGAUUGGGGCCUCUUGCGACCGCACCACCCCCCUUGGCCGUCACGUUGCAAUGGACGCCUUCAAUGCCGCCACCGAAUUCUUCUUGAAACUUUGGCAGGUUCUCGCCAAGGACGUCUCCGCCACCCUCGACUUGACUCUCCACUUCGCCGAGAGUCUGCACCGCCUCUGCGGCGCUCAGGCUUUGGAGCUCAGAUUAAAGCAACAACUCGACAGCAACAACAACGACGCCGCCGCCAGUUCCGCUCUCCAACAACAUGGAAUUGCCGUUAUGUUUAAAUCGGUCAGUAUUAUGACGACGACGACGAAGAAGAAGAUGAUGAUGUAGGUUUAUGAGAAUUAUGAUAGAGUAUCUGAUCUGAUACUAGGUGAUUCGGCUGCAAUCGGACAUGUCUUCUCAUUUGACCGAACCUGGAUAGCUCAUCUUCAUCAGAAGGUGAAAUUCUUUAAGGUGGAGGCUCAUCAGAGGCGAUCAUCCAUCCUACCCAAAUCCGAGCUAUCUAAAACAGACAGAUUGAUCGAAUCCUGUCCUCUUGAUCAUGAUGCGGUAUCUGCCACUGAAAAUUUAGUUAGAGGGAUUUGUUGCUGGAGUUCAUUGGUCCAAUCCUGUCCUCUUGAUCUUGAUGCAGAAUUAGUUAGAGAGAUUUGGAAGCUUAAGCACAAGUCUAUACCGAAGCAAGAACGAAUCCCAUACCUUGACCUCCUCCUCUCUGAGUACAGCUCUUUCAAGAUUAUUGAUGAUGGAAAGCUAGUGGCCAACCCUUGGGACAUGCCUCCUCCUUAUCCAACAAAUUUGGAAAUCCUCUCUUCUUCGUCUUUGCCAAUUAUGCCUCCGAUCCCUUUGAAGAAGAGUGAGCCCUUGGACCUCUAUGAGUCCCUUCGCAGUUAUGUUGCCCUUAAAUACUCUGAGAGCGAGGCAGAGAGAGUAGAAGGCCUUUUCAAAAUGGUAGACAAAUUGCGCAGUGAAAUGCAGCGUGAUGACCUCUCUCUACCCAUUCGCCGUGACUGCCUCAUCCACUAUUUGAAAUGCCUUUGCAUGAUUGAGCCUUUGUUCCCCAUGACUACCUCACCCAAUCCACCUAUCUUUGUUUGGUACAAUGCAUUCAACCCACAACAGGACUCUUCUCAGCACAACAUCCAUUUCGAGAAGGCCUCUGUUCUCUUCAACCUGGGAGCCCUCUCCACCCACAUUACUCUCUCCUGCGAUCUCAGCACCGUCCAAGGCUAUCGCCUUGCCAUGGAUGCAUUAUAUGACGCUUCAUAUUGGUUCUCCAUACUGUGGAAGCUUGAGGCUGAGAAGGCAUCUGCCACCAUUGACUUGUCAGUAAACUGUGUCCAGAUGCUGCGCGAGAUGAUAGCGGCUCAGAUUGCCGACUUGACAUGGAAGUGUCCCCAUUCCCAUUCUGAUGGAUCAUCAUUAGCUGGAUUAGCUGGAUAUCUUGUUACUCUGCGUUGUCGGAAAGCUUAUGAUCUGUCGACAUUGGGGCCUUUAGCUGAGAAUCUUGUUCAAUCCUCAGAUACCUCAAUUUCUUGAGUCGAAGAUGAAAACCCGCCAUGCUCAAACUGAUCCUAGUGAUGUCACUGAACAAUUUCUUUCAGGGUAUUGUGAGGCUCAAUCCCUGCUUCAAGAGGGAUGUCAAACAGCAUGCUUGGACCUUCUCUCCAAGGUUGGCCCUGUCAUGAUUAAGGAUGGAAAUCUUAUGAUCAACCUUAGAAGCCUAUAACUAUUUUUGUGAAUAUAUUAUCUUCGCAAUUUUGUUUGUUCAUGUGUGAAUAUAUUCUUUCUUAUUCCUCACUAAUUCGUAGUGAUCUGUAUGCCUCCGAUUUCGUAGCCUUUGUUAGUUAUUGUUGCAUAUUGGUAGAUAGAAGGUAUCAAAUUAUUGCUUCUGUUGUCAUUCAAAUCCUUCAAAAUGUAUUGUUUGUAUCUACACAAUUUUCCUGAUGUGCUGCUAGAUCAAUAUCCUUUGAUGACUACUUCUGCAUGGUUUGUUUUUCACACUUAAACCAGGUUGAAGGUUCACUACUCAUUUUGGA